CCGCGGCAUCUGUCAAUCACUGCCGUGCUGUAUAGAGACUGUAUUACUGAGACUGUUGCUGUUAAUUGGAUGUACCGCAAGUACCUCAGUAAAGUUUAUACAAGUCCAAGUUCAUCUCCAUUGUGGACCUUCAUUCAUUUAAGCGCGCACCUAUCGUUCCUGGGAAGGGUGGCGAUAGGCCGGAGAUUUACCUCAGCGAAUUAACCCUCACCCUGGCGUCACGAGUGACAGGGGUUAAGUUAACCCCUCAUAUACCGAAGCAACACCCCAACUACACUACACCCCCCAAGGCUGCUACCACAGAUGUAUAUAAAUUGUAUAUUUUUUAUUAUGUGUAUAGUACUUCCAGGACCUUAGGUCACAUGACUAAUAAGUCUAAUGUUAGGUUAAGCUUAAGGACCUUCCAGGUCACAUGAUGUAGUCACAUGAUGUACCAUAAUGCUUUGUGAAAGGACUGACAGCUGGUGGGAACCAAUGAGCUCUAAGCCUGCCCCUCUCCAUAUAAGGGGGCUGUUAACCAAUCCUCGCUCUCUUGGUUCCUGUACUGCAAAGCAGUAACAUCUCUCAUGGGUUCCGGACUAGCAGAGAGAGAGGAGAUCCGUGCAAACCUACAAGACCAAACUAGGCCUGAAGCCUACCAAUUCAGCAGCUUACUAAACGAUCCCACAUCCAUACCCCGGAUGAUCCAAUGGGAGGAGGCACUGCCCCUAGUGGAAGCUCAGGAUCGGCCUGCCCACAAAGAGGUCUAAAGGGCUUCUUUCUUCCUCCUUCCUUCUAAACUCAAUCAGUCAUGCAGCAAGAAUUGAUGAAAUCCUUCUCAGGACGGACUAGUUCACUGAAGGAUCGGGUUACAGCUGCACAUAGAAGUCUAUGAAGAUUGGAGAGGGAAAGAGGAGGAAGCAGCUGCAGAGAGAGGAGACAGAGAUAGAGAGCGAGAGAGAGAUAGAAGCUGCUGAAAGCUCUAGUUUUCGUUUUUUUCACAUUCUUUUUCCCAAGAUGACAUCAUUAUCAGUAAAUUUACCACAUGAAUUCAAUAUGAUCUCACUGGAAUCUACACUUUCCUAUUGAUUUCCCGCUCGGUCCAGUCACCGCCAUCUCCCAUCCUGAAGUGACCGUCAGCAGCCGCGUCUGAAAUCAAUGGAGGUGUCUGCACUCGGUCCCAGUCCUCUCCAUAGAAGUGAUGGGAUGGCUGGUGCCGGCCCGGUCCCAUGACCAGAUGGAUCUCACCUCUUAAACAACGUACAAUCCAAUAAGUGAGUUAAGUGGUGACAGCCCCGGUCUGGAGGUUUAUUAUGGCGGAUGAGGUUGUACGAGGCGGCGAGAUGAAGUCUACAAAGUAUUGAUCAGUGACUGUGAGGGCGUCCGGGCCGCGCCAUAAACUUUAUAUAACAUGGGGAUCAAUAUGUCCUAUAAACCUGUCACCAAUACGUGUUCAUUAUAGGGGAUACUAGGAGAUAGAUAUGAGAUAGA